GAUUCGUCACACUAUCAUUAACUGAAUCCAUAGGUUAAUGAGGCGAACCGGGGGAACUGAAACAUCUAAGUACCCCGAGGAAAAGAAAUCAACCGAGAUUCCCCCAGUAGCGGCGAGCGAACGGGGAGGAGCCCAGAGCCUGAAUCAGCAUGUGUGUUAGUGGAAGCGUCUGGAAAGGCGCGCGAUACAGGGUGACAGCCCCGUACACAAAAGCGCAUGUGCUGUGAGCUCGAUGAGUAGGGCGGGACACGUGGUAUCCUGUCUGAAUAUGGGGGGACCAUCCUCCAAGGCUAAAUACUCCUGACUGACCGAUAGUGAACCAGUACCGUGAGGGAAAGGCGAAAAGAACCCCGGCGAGGGGAGUGAAAAAGAACCUGAAACCGUGUACGUACAAGCAGUGGGAGCACCCUUCGGGGUGUGACUGCGU
rnacentral:rRNA from 1 species